CCUACGGGCGGCAGCAGUGGGGAAUAUUGGACAAUGGGGGGAACCCUGAUCCAGCCAUGCCGCGUGUGUGAAGAAGGCCCUCGGGUUGUAAAGCACUUUCAGUGAGGAAGAACGCCUGGUGGUUAAUACCCAUCAGGAAAGACAUCACUCACAGAAGAAGCACCGGCUAACUCCGUGCCAGCAGCCGCGGUAAUACGGAGGGUGCGAGCGUUAAUCGGAAUUACUGGGCGUAAAGCGCGCGUAGGUGGCUUGAUAAGCCGGUUGUGAAAGCCCCGGGCUCAACCUGGGAACGGCAUCCGGAACUGUCAAGCUAGAGUGCAGGAGAGGAAGGUAGAAUUCCCGGUGUAGCGGUGAAAUGCGUAGAGAUCGGGAGGAAUACCAGUGGCGAAGGCGGCCUUCUGGACUGACACUGACACUGAGGUGCGAAAGCGUGCGUAGCAAACAGGAUUAGAUACCCCGGUAGUC
rnacentral:rRNA from 1 species